rnacentral:lncRNA from 13 species
GUAGAAGAGAUGGGUUUUGCCAGGUUGGCCAGGCUCAUCUUGAUCUCCUGACCUCGUGAUCUGCCCUCUUGGCCUCCCAAAGUGCUGAGAUUACAGGUGUGAGCCACUGGGCCCAGCCAAGGAAGUGGAUUCUUAACCACAGUCGCUCUCUCUCACCACCACUGCUCUCAGGUGUGGUGCAGGAGGUGCGGGGAGCAGCACUGACUUCUGAAUCCUCGACUGCAGAGCCGUUGAGGGUGUCCGAGCUGGGCAUCUGUACUUUCUCAAGGAGACUCUCGGAUCAAGGGCACAGGGAUGGGGGGAGGGACUGGGCAGCAGCAGUGUCUGGAAGCUGCUGGGCAAUGCAAGGGAGACACAGGGAAGACCUGGACUCUAGGUGAGCCAAACGGAAUGGAAAGAAGUGAAGACACGUGAGAGAAGUUGUCGGCGAGACCCAACAGAAUUUGCCAGUAGCUUGCAAUUGGCAGGUUUGAGUGACGCAAGAGGGACAGACCACUGGAGGCCUUGAGGCAGGCUGACCAGGAAGAUGACUGUCCAGGAGUCCCAGCUAAGGAAGGAGGGAAAGAGAAGGUGUUCUGCAACCCGUGGGGUUGAGGGUAUAGGGGGACAAACAGCUGGGAGCCUCUGAGUGGAACAGAGCUGGGUACCUAUGUGUGGCCUGAGGAGAAAUUGACAGCCUAGGCACCCACCUCGGGCCACCUGGAGGGCAUUAGCCCAGCCACAGUCCAGGGAGGGAGGAGGACCUGAGGCCAACCUCGCAGGGCUUCAGCAAAGGCAGCAGAACGUCCUGUCCAAGCUGCCCUCCCCUCACAAGGAAGACUCCCAGGAAAGGCCUGGCGGCAGCAAAGAGCACUUCAAGGUGCCAUGUUCUCAGGCUGGAACCAUUUCUGCCCAUUGUAGAUAUCU